GGUCCCGUGCCCGAGUGGCUAGGGAGCGGUCUGCAAAACCGCGUACGCCGGUUCGAUUCCGGCCGGGACCU
rnacentral:tRNA from 1 species